rnacentral:pre_miRNA from 1 species
ACAAAGGAAAAAGUGAAGCUGCCAGCAUGAUCUAAGCUUUGGUUAGAGAGCUUUGCUUGCUUGCUUGCUUGCUUGCUUGCUUUUGAAUUUCAGGAUAAAGAGAAAGAAGUAAGUAACCCUAAACAGUGACUAGGUCAUGCUGUGACAGCCUCACUCUUUCCUAUU